rnacentral:rRNA from 1 species
GAUGAACGCUGGCGGCGUGCCUAAUACAUGCAAGUCGAGCGAACAGACGAGGAGCUUGCUCCUCUGACGUUAGCGGCGGACGGGUGAGUAACACGUGGAUCACCUACCUAUAAGACUGGGAUAACUUCGGGAAACCGGAGCUAAUACCGGAUAAUAUAUUGAACCGCAUGGUUCAAUAGUGAAAGACGGUUUUGCUGUCACUUAUAGAUGGAUCCGCGCCGCAUUAGCUAGUUGGUAAGGUAACGGCUUACCAAGGCAACGAUGCGUAGCCGACCUGAGAGGGUGAUCGGCCACACUGGAACUGAGACACGGUCCAUACGCCUACGGGAGGCAGCAGUAGGGAAUCGGCCGCAAUGGGCGAAAGCUUGACGGAGCAACGCCGCGUGAGUGAUGAAGGUCUUCGGAUCGUAAAACUCGGUUAUUAGGGAAGAACAAAUGUGUAAGUAACUAUGCACGUCUUGACGGUACCUGAUGAGAAAGCCACGGCUAACUACGUG